CGAUUAGAGUUUGAUCCUGGCUCAGAACGAACGCUGGCGGCAGGCUUAACACAUGCAAGUCGAGCGCAUCCUUCGGGGUGAGCGGCAGACGGGUGAGUAACGCGUGGGAAUCUACCUUUUGCUACGGAAUAGCUCCGGGAAACUGGAAUUAAUACCGUAUGUGCUCUUUGGCGGUGGACGCUGGAGAGGAAAGAUUUAUCGGCAAAGGAUGAGCCCGCGUUGGAUUAGCUAGUUGGUGGGGUAAAGGCCUACCAAGGCGACGAUCCAUAGCUGGUCUGAGAGGAUGAUCAGCCACAUUGGGACUGAGACACGGCCCAAACUCCUACGGGAGGCAGCAGUGGGGAAUAUUGGACAAUGGGCGCAAGCUGAUCCAGCCAUGCCGCGUGUGUGAUGAAGGCCUUAGGGUUGUAAAGCACUUUCACCGGUGAAGAUAAUGACGGUAACCGGAGAAGAAGCCCCGGCUAACUUCGUGCCAGCAGCCGCGGUAAUACGAAGGGGGCUAGCGUUGUUCGGAAUUACUGGGCGUAAAGCGCACGUAGGCGGAUAUUUAAGUCAGGGGUGAAAUCCCAGAGCUCAACUCUGGAACUGCCUUUGAUACUGGGUAUCUUGAGUAUGGAAGAGGUGAGUGGAAUUCCGAGUGUAGAGGUGAAAUUCGUAGAUAUUCGGAGGAACACCAGUGGCGAAGGCGGCUCACUGGUCCAUAACUGACGCUGAGGUGCGAAAGCGUGGRGAGCAAACAGGAUUAGAUACCCUGGUAGUC
rnacentral:rRNA from 1 species